UACAGAGGGUGCAAGCGUUAAUCGGAAUUACUGGGCGUAAAGCGCACGUAGGCGGUUUUUUAAGUCAGAUGUGAAAGCCCCGGGCUCAACCUGGGAAUUGCAUUUGAAACUGGGAAACUAGAGUGUGUGAGAGGGGGGUAGAAUUCCGAGUGUAGAGGUGAAAUUCGUAGAUAUUCGGAAGAACACCAGUGGCGAAGGCGGCCCCCUGGCACAACACUGACGCUCAGGUGCGAAAGCGUGGGGAGCAAACAGG
rnacentral:rRNA from 1 species